CGAAAGCCUGACGGAGCAACGCCGCGUGAGGGAUGAAGGCCUCUGGGCUGUAAACCUCUUUUCUCAAGGAAGAGGAUCUGACGGUACUUGAGGAAUAAGCCACGGCUAAUUCCGUGCCAGCAGCCGCGGUAAUACGGGAGUGGCAAGCGUUAUCCGGAAUUAUUGGGCGUAAAGCGUCCGCAGGCGGCCCCGUAAGUCUGUCGUUAAAGCGUGGAGCUUAACUCCAUUUAAGCGAUGGAAACUACAGGGCUUGAGUGUGGUAGGGGCAGAGGGAAUUCCCGGUGUAGCGGUGAAAUGCGUAGAUAUCGGGAAGAACACCAGUGGCGAAGGCGCUCUGCUGGGCCAUAACUGACGCUCAUGGACGAAAGCCAGGGGAGCG
rnacentral:rRNA from 1 species